AUACGGAGGAUCCGAGCGUUAUCCGGAUUUAUUGGGUUUAAAGGGAGCGUAGGUGGAUUGUUAAGUCAGUUGUGAAAGUUUGCGGCUCAACCGUAAAAUUGCAGUUGAAACUGGCAGUCUUGAGUACAGUAGAGGUGGGCGGAAUUCGUGGUGUAGCGGUGAAAUGCUUAGAUAUCACGAAGAACUCCGAUUGCGAAGGCAGCUCACUAGACUGUUACUGACACUGAUGCUCGAAAGUGUGGGUAUCAAACAGGAUUAGAUACCCUGGUAGUCCACACAGUAAACGAUGAAUACUCGCUGUUUGCGAUAUACAGUAAGCGGCCAAGCGAAAGCAUUAAGUAUUCCACCUGGGGAGUACGCCGGCAACGGUGAAACUUAAAGGAAUUGACGGG
rnacentral:rRNA from 1 species